CCGAGUGAGGGCCUCCGGGCCCGACCUCCAACCCUUUGUGAACACACCCGUUGCUUCGGGGGCGACCCUGCCGUUUCGACGGCGAGCGCCCCCGGAGGUCUUCCAACACUGCAUCUUUGCGUCGGUGUUUAAGGAAAUGAAACA
rnacentral:misc_RNA from 1 species